AGGAUAUACCCUGUCGCUACUACAUGAAACAGAUUUCAAGGUGUUGGCUGGGUUUAGAAAGUGUCAGGUUUGCUUAUCAGCUGUUUGCAGGUGGUGGUUUUCCUCUAGCUUUAUUGGACCAUAACCUCAGAUAAGGCACUGAAGUGAUUUAGAAUCACACCUGUAGGUCAGAGGUCAUAUAGAAAGAUAUUAACUUUCCCUGAAGAUGUUCCAGUGACUGACAGGGAGGUAGUAGAUAUAAGAAAUGAAUGUACAUCAUGUUAAUUUUUAAAAAAGAUAUUGUAGGAGAGAUUUCAGUUUCCAAAGAUACCUGUCAUUAUAUUUUUGUUUUUUAAAGGACGUGCAAAUUGUUUGAUAACUGUGUGUAUUUGUGUGUCAUUUUCCAGACUUUAAAUGAUGUUCUGUAUGGGGUGACCAGUGCUGUACCAGGAGCUCGGUCAGUCUCUCUGGUUUCCAUGGUGAUACUCAUCGGUGGCAAGAUGCUGAAUGAGCACUUCAAGAACAAGCUGCCUGUUGCCAUACUCUAGGAACUUAUACUGAUUGUCCUGGGCACCAUCCUGUCAGUGCAGAUGGAUCUGUCUGGACAGCACAGAGUCCAGGUGGUGGGACACAUACCCAGUGGGACCUGCUGGCUCUGGGUCUGUGCAACGCCAUCGGAGGAAUGCUUCAGUGCUUUGCUGUCAGCUGCUCCUUCUCUCACAGUAUGGUCCAGGAUAGUGUUGGUGUCAAAUCACAGAUGGCAGGUUUGGUAUCAGCUUUGAUGAUUCUGACCACCUUGUCGAAGAUCGGCCAUCUCUUUGAGCAGCUGCCAAAGACUUUUCCUCUCACCUCCCUGCUUCUCUUCACCUGGUGUGGGUGGUGUCACUGAUUUCCACGCUGAUCUUUAACCUAGACCUGGGUCCGGGCAGAGAGAGGACUGCUAAUCUACAGGACACAACAAUUUACUAGUUCAGCUGCUGCAGCCUGGACAGAAACACCAGCUUUCACCUUACAAACAAAACAGGAUUCAAACUUUAACUAUUUAAUCACAGAGAGAAGAGACAGAUGUGAAGACAUUUCCAGAAGGUCUUCAGCUGCUGUCAUCUCAUUCUGCAGAGACAAGUAUUAUGUAUGUAUUAUGGAAAUUGAUCAGUUAAUCUAAAUAUUUUUGACAUAAUUUGUUUUAUGUUGUUAUGCCUUACUAUACUGGGACAUUUUUUCUGCCAUACUAUAUUAUAACAUUUUUCUGACAUCUUAGUAUACUAUGACAUGUGGCUUAAGACAAUGGACCUAUCGUAAAAUAGCCAUCUUGCCUUGUUUUCCACAGACACACAAAUUCUCACCUCUAUACAGUGUUUGUGGGUUAUAUUAGAUUUUGGUUCAAACAGCGCAAUAUCAGUACUCAAAUCCAACCUAUUACUGUGUACAUAGUCCUGUUUAUAAUUUUUAUAUAUUGUUAUAUAUUAUCUUGUCUUCUUUAUAUAAAGUCUUUUUCUAUGUUUGCUGUCGCAAUAUUGAAUUUCCCCGUUGUGGGACUGAAAGGAUUAUCCUACUCAAAUAAAUACUUCUGAACACUGAAUAUUUUGCUAGUCUGUUUAAUAUGGUAUGAAAGUGAAUAUUUGUAGCAGGGGGUUAGGGCUUUUAGCCAGAGAUUAGGUUAUGUUAGAUUAUUUGGCAUUUCUGCAUUACACAAUCACUUUCGUGAUAUUAAUUCAAAAAUAGAGAAACUCAACUCAAAAGUUAUACUAUGACAUUUGAGUUUUUAUGCCUUACAACAUUUUUGACACAAUGCUAUACUAUGGCAUUUCUAUGACAUUUCGUCACAUCCAUUUGGCAUCUAUUGAUGGCUUUUAACGCCUUACUAUACUAUGACAUUUUUACAUGUUUUUUUAAACACCUUGCUAUGCUAUAACAUUUUUUAGGGAAUUUUACCCUUUACUAUACUAUGAUUUAUUGAUGAUGUUGAUGGUGACUUAUUAUACAUUAUAAAUUUUUCCAUGGUUUUUAAUGUCUUUCUGAACAAUGACUUUUUAAAAUAAAAAUUUGAUGCUUUACUA